rnacentral:rRNA from 1 species
UUUAUGGAGAGUUUGAUCCUGGCUCAGAGUGAACGCUGGCGGCGUGCCUAAUACAUGCAAGUCGAACGAUGAAGCUUCUAGCUUGCUAGAAUGCUGAUUAGUGGCGCACGGGUGAGUAACGCAUAGGUUAUGUGCCUCUUAGUUUGGGAUAGCCAUUGGAAACGAUGAUUAAUACCAGAUACUCCCUACGGGGGAAAGAUUUAUCGCUAAGAGAUCAGCCUAUGUCCUAUCAGCUUGUUGGUAAGGUAAUGGCUUACCAAGGCUAUGACGGGUAUCCGGCCUGAGAGGGUGAACGGACACACUGGAACUGAGACACGGUCCAGACUCCUACGGGAGGCAGCAGUAGGGAAUAUUGCUCAAUGGGGGAAACCCUGAAGCAGCAACGCCGCGUGGAGGAUGAAGGUUUUAGGAUUGUAAACUCCUUUUGUUAGAGAAGAUAAUGACGGUAUCUAACGAAUAAGCACCGGCUAACUCCGUGCCAGCAGCCGCGGUAAUACGGAGGGUGCAAGCGUUACUCGGAAUCACUGGGCGUAAAGAGCGCGUAGGCGGGAUAGUCAGUCAGGUGUGAAAUCCUAUGGCUUAACCAUAGAACUGCAUUUGAAACUACUAUUCUAGAGUGUGGGAGAGGUAGGUGGAAUUCUUGGUGUAGGGGUAAAAUCCGUAGAGAUCAAGAGGAAUACUCAUUGCGAAGGCGACCUGCUGGAACAUUACUGACGCUGAUUGCGCGAAAGCGUGGGGAGCAAACAGGAUUAGAUACCCUGGUAGUCCACGCCCUAAACGAUGGAUGCUAGUUGUUGGAGGGCUUAGUCUCUCCAGUAAUGCAGCUAACGCAUUAAGCAUCCCGCCUGGGGAGUACGGUCGCAAGAUUAAAACUCAAAGGAAUAGACGGGGACCCGCACAAGCGGUGGAGCAUGUGGUUUAAUUCGAAGAUACACGAAGAACCUUACCUAGGCUUGACAUUGAGAGAAUCCGCUAGAAAUAGUGGAGUGUCUGGCUUGCCAGACCUUGAAAACAGGUGCUGCACGGCUGUCGUCAGCUCGUGUCGUGAGAUGUUGGGUUAAGUCCCGCAACGAGCGCAACCCCCUUUCUUAGUUGCUAACAGGUUAUGCUGAGAACUCUAAGGAUACUGCCUCCGUAAGGAGGAGGAAGGUGGGGACGACGUCAAGUCAUCAUGGCCCUUACGCCUAGGGCUACACACGUGCUACAAUGGGGUGCACAAAGAGAAGCAAUACUGCGAAGUGGAGCCAAUCUUCAAAACACCUCUCAGUUCGGAUUGUAGGCUGCAACUCGCCUGCAUGAAGCUGGAAUCGCUAGUAAUCGCAAAUCAGCCAUGUUGCGGUGAAUACGUUCCCGGGUCUUGUACUCACCGCCCGUCACACCAUGGGAGUUGUGUUUGCCUUAAGUCAGGAUGCUAAAUUGGCUACUGCCCACGGCACACACAGCGACUGGGGUGAAGUCGUAACAAGGUAACCGUAGGUGAACCUGCGGUUGGAUCACCUCCUUU